AGUACAAAAUAUGGGAUUUAUUUACGAGAGUUAUUUUAACUCCUAUAAAAUUAUAUUAAAUAUGAAAUUAAAAAUAUACCGCUAAAAUUAUAUAUUUACGGAAUUUUUAACCCUCUCUAUCCACCAAAAAAAAAAAAUAGCGCUAGCUCAAAAAAAUAUUUUCCCUCUUUUUUCCCCAAUAUUCCUCCAAUACAUUUCUCUCUCUUAUUUUUCCCCAAUUAGAGUUGACAGGUACUCUCCAGUAAGAGAUUUCAUUGAAAAGCCAUGAAUUUUAGAUAUGGUAAUUAAAAGUUAAACCCGACCUUGAAACUACCUCUCCGCCACCGCCACAACCACAACAACAGCCAUCGGCACCACCGCAGACAGAGCCUCAGACACCUUUACAGCCGUAGCCACAACCACCACCACCGCAACAGCAGCAGCAACCUCAAACGAAAGUGGCACCAAAGCGCCCCCAGCAACCGGAAUCCUCCCCAAACCCAGCCACCCCUUCGGCCACCGAAUCCAAAGACAAAGACGUCACUUCCACCACAACCAUCUCCUCCCGCCUUACUGAACCUGAAUUCGUUUACAUCCCAGCUAUUCCCUUAAGUUCCCUUCUACUUUUCAGCUCAUAUUUCUGUAUUUUAGGGCGGAAUUGAUAUAAAUGAUUCAUGUAAUUGAUUAAAUGAUGUUUGAUGUUGUUCUUUUAGGUUGGUUUUCGUGAAAUAGCAUUCAUGAAUGUGAGGUUCAUUUUCUUCCUGAAUUCUUCGACGGAAGGUCAUCUUCUAAGAACCCCAAGACAUACAAUUACUAUAGUAAUACCAUUAUUCGUAGAUUCAGCGAUAACCCCACUAAAAAGAUCACCUUUACUUAGGUUCGCAAGACCAUUGUUGGAGACGUGGGUUCAUUUCGUAAAGUUUUUGAUUUCUUGGAGACAUGGGGUUCGAUUUUUAGCAUUUUUAUUAAUUAUAAGUUGGAUUAUUGGAAUUACACACCACAUGUUUGUUGAAUGUAAGUAUAGUAUUGCCAAAAUCUACACCAUCCGUUUCAGUUUGUUUGUUCGAUGUUGACUUGUCACAUAGUUUAAGAAAGUCAUGUUAUGAUUUAUUAGUGCCAACUCUUUCUUUUCUCCCUCGGUUCUGUAUUUUCGGAAGUUAAUGGUAUAGUGAUGCUGUUGGAUUGACCAGGGGACUAGAAUACCUCCAUGAGCGCUGUAAUCCCCUGUAAUCCAUAGAGAUCUCAAAUCAUCUAAUGUUCUACUGGAUUCCAACUUCAGUGCAAAGCUUUCUGAUUUUGGCCUUGCUGUUGCUGGAUGGAAUUUGAGCAAGAGCAACGUAAAGAUUUCAGGAACUCUGGGUUAUGUGGCUCUAGAGUACCUCUUAGAUGUUGCAGGUGAUAUGGACUAUUGUGAUCAAUAUAUGCAUGGCUGUGGAGCUCAUACAGACUAUGGAAUGAUAACUAUCUUAAUGACCGAUGGUGUUCUUGGACUAAAAGUGUGUUACAAAGAGUUGAUUUCUCAUGUGGUCAUUCAACUAAUAGUUAGUGCCAGAUUAAGAUAAUAACUAUUAGUAUAACUAUUAGUUGAGUGACUAAAUGAGAAAUCUACCCAUAUUAAAAUUGUUUAGUUGACGCAAAAAUAGUAAAUGCAUAGAGUAUUGAUAAUUCUAGCAUUUCAUCUGUAUUCUGCCUUUUAUCAGGUUUGUCAUUACCAUUUCAGCGACCGCAGUGUAAUGGAGAGAGAGAUAAAGGAUGGGAAAUUCCUGGAGUUCACUUCUGUUCAUGGGCAACUGAGACUGAAGAGCAAAUCCAAAAGCGUCUCCGAAAUGCUAGGGCAAAACUCUAACAAGGAAAAUCAUCAGGUCUCUUCGACCAUAAUUUGGUGAAGGAUGACCUAGAAAGUUGUUAUGAGAAUCUUAAGCUAAGUGAUGCGGCUAGUGGACCCAUUUCGCCCAUGGAAGCACGGAGACUACACGAUGAUAGUGAUCCUAAUGAUAGUCGUUGAUUUCGUUGCAAAUUGUCUUGGAUAUUUAAUUAUGAUGAUGUAAUUUUGUGGUUGGAGGGAAUCUUAGAAUAUUGAAGGUUUUGUUUUUAACUCUGAUUUUGGAGUUUGAAGAUACUAGUUAAUGUUGAAAAUUUGGAGUUUGAAGAUGCUAA